rnacentral:rRNA from 1 species
UACGUAGGGUGCAAGCGUUAAUCGGAAUUACUGGGCGUAAAGCGUGCGCAGGCGGUUCGUUAAGUUCGAUGUGAAAGCCCCGGGCUCAACCUGGGAACUGCAUUGGAAACUGGCGAGCUUGAAUGCGGCAGAGGGGGGUGGAAUUCCGCGUGUAGCAGUGAAAUGCGUAGAGAUCGGGAGGAACACCUGUGGCGAAGGCGGCCGACUGGGCCGACCCUGACGCUGAGGCGCGAAGGCGUGGGGAGCGAACGGG